GCAGUCUUAGCACAUGCAAGUCGAACGGUAGCACAGAGAGCUUGCUCUCGGGUGACGAGUGGCGGACGGGUGAGUAAUGUCUGGGAAACUGCCUGAUGGAGGGGGAUAACUACUGGAAACGGUAGCUAAUACCGCAUAACGUCGCAAGACCAAAGAGGGGGACCUUCGGGCCUCUUGCCAUCAGAUGUGCCCAGAUGGGAUUAGCUAGUAGGUGGGGUAACGGCUCACCUAGGCGACGAUCCCUAGCUGGUCUGAGAGGAUGACCAGCCACACUGGAACUGAGACACGGUCCAGACUCCUACGGGAGGCAGCAGUGGGGAAUAUUGCACAAUGGGCGCAAGCCUGAUGCAGCCAUGCCGCGUGUAUGAAGAAGGCCUUCGGGUUGUAAAGUACUUUCAGCGGGGAGGAAGGUGUUGUGGUUAAUAACCCCACCAAUUGACGUUACCCGCAGAAGAAGCACCGGCUAACUCCGUGCCAGCAGCCGCGGUAAUACGGAGGGUGCAAGCGUUAAUCAGAAUUACUGGGCGUAUAGCGCGCGCAGGCGGUCUGUCAAGUCGGAUGUGAAAUCCCCGGGCUCAACCUGGGAACUGCAUUUUAAACUGGCAGGCUAUAGUCUUGUAGAGGGGGGUAUAAUUCCGGGUGUAGCCGUCACAUGC
rnacentral:rRNA from 1 species